rnacentral:lncRNA from 1 species
GCACUACUUGCAAUCACACCAUCCUACAAAUCACAGAUUAAAAAGUUACCCAUCACUUGGAAUUUUGAGAAUAAGAUAUAAAGUCACUCUUGCUGAGGAGCCAUGUAAUUAUUUCCAAAUGUAUUUUGAGAAAGACUACGAUACUUGGCUAUAUUAGUUACUUUCUCUAAGCUUGCACAAAAAUGACAGAGCUUGAUUAGCAAUAGAUCCCAAUGCUAAAGUAUCGGAAGGCAAUCUAAAGGAAUAUAGGAGUAAUUUAAUUUACAGAGAGAAACAUUAAGAAUCGUGAAAAGAAAAAAGAUGCACCUGAUACAGAAAAUAUGUGACAGGCGGCUCAAUGUCGUCUCCUCUUUGAUCUCAACCAAAUAACACUGCCUCUGUUAAGACAGUAAGACGCCAAAUACUGAUACAUUUUCCACUUCAUAAAUUCAUGCAAGCAAAUUUGACACUUGUGCUUCAUGAAUAUAUCCCAUUUUUUCAACAAUGUGUGACAUAGCCCAACAUUGAGACAAGGAGAGUUGGUGCAUCUUAGUAUUUAACUAUCAUAUCUGAAACUAAAUAAGAUACAAUUUACCAAGGUUUAUAGCCUAGCAGUAACAGUGGGAGUCACCAACAUAGUAGCUACUAGGUGUGAUAUUAAUUUUUUUCAUUGUUUCUCCCUGCUUCCCCUUUCAGAAGAACUUGGUACCCAAUAAAAGUAAGAUAGGAAAUUUUGAGGGAAAAAACAAAAUUAGAGUACUAAUAUAUCAAGUUAAUUGCUCUAUAUUAACUUCCUAUGCAGAGGUAUUAUGAUAGGGAGAUACUUUUGAGUAUAUGUUGCUUAUUCUUUUACUA